UGGGACUGAGACACGGCCCAGACUCCUACGGGAGGCAGCAGUGGGGAAUAUUGCACAAUGGGCGCAAGCCUGAUGCAGCGACGCCGCGUGAGGGAUGACGGCCUUCGGGUUGUAAACCUCUGUUAGCAGGGAAGAAGAGAGAUUGACGGUACCUGCAGAGAAAGCGCCGGCUAACUACGUGCCAGCAGCCGCGGUAAUACGUAGGGCGCGAGCGUUGUCCGGAAUUAUUGGGCGUAAAGAGCUUGUAGGCGGUUUGUCGCGUCUGCUGUGAAAGGCCGGGGCUUAACUCCGUGUAUUGCAGUGGGUACGGGCAGACUAGAGUGCAGUAGGGGAGACUGGAAUUCCUGGUGUAGCGGUGGAAUGCGCAGAUAUCAGGAGGAACACCGAUGGCGAAGGCAGGUCUCUGGGCUGUAACUGACGCUGAGAAGCGAAAGCAUGGGGAGCGAACAGGAUUAGAUACCCUGGUAGUCCAUGCCGUAAACGUUGGGCACUAGGUGUGGGGGACAUUCCACGUUUUCCGCGCCGUAGCUAACGCAUUAAGUGCCCCGCCUGGGGAGUACGGCCGCAAGGCUAAAACUCAAAGAAAUUGACGGGGGCCCGCACAAGCGGCGGAGCAUGCGGAUUAAUUCGAUGCAACGCGAAGAACCUUACCAAGGCUUGACAUAUACUGGACCGCAUCAGAGAUGGUGUUUCCCUUCGGGGCUGGUAUACAGGUGGUGCAUGGUUGUCGUCAGCUCGUGUCGUGAGAUGUUGGGUUAAGUCCCGCAACGAGCGCAACCCUCGUUCUAUGUUGCCAGCACGUUAUGGUGGGGACUCAUAGGAGACUGCCGGGGUCAACUCGGAGGAAGGUGGGGAUGACGUCAAAUCAUCAUGCCCCUUAUGUCUUGGGCUUCACGCAUGCUACAAUGGCCGGUACAGAGGGUUGCGAUACUGUGAGGUGGAGCUAAUCCCUAAAAGCCGGUCUCAGUUCGGAUUGGGGUCUGCAACUCGACCCCAUGAAGUCGGAGUCGCUAGUAAUCGCAGAUCAGCAACGCUGCGGUGAAUACGUUCCCGGGCCUUGUACACACCGCCCGUCAAGUCACGAAAGUUGGUAACACCCAAAGCCGGUGGCCUAACCCUUUUGGGAGGGAGCCGUCUAAGGUGGGAUUGGCGAUUGGGACUAAGUCGUAACAAGGUAGCCGUACCGGAAGGUGCGGCUG
rnacentral:rRNA from 1 species